UGGGUGCCCUGCACAGCCAGCAGGGGUAAAGGAGAUCCCUGCCUGUCCUGGUCUGCCUGUCCUGUCUAAUGAUGGGACAAGAAAAAGGCUGCCCACAGAAGUGGUUGUGUCACCAUUCCUGGAG